UUGUCGAGUGACCACUAACAAUGGAAAUACAUAUCCUCAAAUAUGGAAUACGGGCGAGAUCAGGUGGUACCAUUCUAGCAAAUGAGAGGGCGGAUCCGCGUGUGAACAAGAUGCACAACUCCGAUAGUUUCUAUCCAAAUUGCCACGUGCGUCCACUUAUCAGUGCAUUCGUAACAACCUAACCAUUACUAAACUUCAUUUCGAUCAAAUACGCCUCAAGUAGCAAGCAACUUUCGUUGACCAAAAUCGACACUCACUGACCUCCAUACAAAAAUCCCACUUGUGGUCUUAUUUUCGUGGACACAUUUUGUGCGGCGUAAACCCUUUCACUACGCUUCUUCCUAUCGAAUGACCAAACGUCGCCUAUUUACCGUAUUAACUGCACUGGGAUCAAAACUAAUGACGCAUUCUGAAUGUAUGGCAACCUCUAAUUACCGUAGGCCUACAAGCGGAGCUAGAAGAGAAACUUGUGUUUGACCAGUCCAGAUAUCACACUUUUUUUAAUGAGUUUGCCUAAGAAUGACAUAAAACACUUACAGGACUCUUACCUCUAACGGUCGCCAUCAGCUCUCGCUGCGUUUUGAUAUGUUUUAGCGACAGAUCCUUUCUAAAAUGUCUCAACGUGGAUGUUGUGCUACCGCUCGUCCGCUUCAGAACAGGCGCACACAGCUUGCAUGUCACACUUUCGGAAGAUAUUUCAUUGAAAUAUCUCCACGUGUGACUUCUAUAUUUUGUACGGUCUCUGCUUCUACAUUCCAUAUCUCACAGCUGCUGGUUCUUAGUGUAAUGGAUGGAUCGUUUGAGCUAUCAACUGCAGUCUUUGGUGGCCGUCUGGAUCUGCGACAUUUCAUUGCGCAUGUGCUGGGAUUAAAGGUAAACGUUUUCACCACUCCACAUAGCCGACACAUACAAAAGCAACAUUUUGAAAAUAAUAAAUCAAGCAUUCUGCUUGACAAUAGCACGCAUUUUAUUUAAAGUCUCACACGCACAUAAACGAGUCCAAUUUGAGCCCCCCCAAAAUAAAAUAAAAAUCAUAACCGCACAAACUGAUCUAUCGGACCCGACUGCAAACCGCCAUUAGGAAAGACGGCUACCCCAACCCGAACCAUGUGGAAUUGAACCGACGGCCACAACCCGAGCUAACCACCUUUGUCCUUCCUGCUGCGCAUUUUAAGCUCCACGUUUUGCACUACAAUUUACUACUGUGCAAUCAAUAGACGUCUUACCGUGCAUUUCUCUAUGUGUUUUUUCAAGCUGGAAGUGCCUGUUCUAUGGCUGUCAUAAGCUAACACCCGCUUGCACUUUUUGCAUGCUGCGAAUCCAUCCACAUGUUGUUUGUCAGCGUUAACGAUUACUCCAAAAUGAUCCCAUACAUUUGAUUUAACUCGUGCCCUGUUUUUCACGAUUCUGAGCUCCCUAUUUUUUAUCUUUUGGGUCAAAUUCUGGUUUUCUGUGGUAUGUUUUUUGCUUUCCAUUCUUUCGGUCUUCUCUGGCUGUGCGGGUAGGGUUAUCCUGUGGGUUGUUUUCACUGUGUCUGCGCGCUGUAGCAAAGAAUAGUUUAGCUGUAGGCUUCUAUACGCAUUCUAGAAUGACAUUUACAAGCAAUACAAAACCCGAUAAGAUGCAAUACACACACUUUACAGUGUUAAUUUGAGCACGUUUUGGUUGAUCUAGGGAUCUAUUAGCCCUGGACUCUCAGUUGCAUUAUAUUACUAGUCAUUGGACAGGCGUAUUUUGUAGGGGGAGAUUUAAGAGCCCAGAUGCCUGGUCUGAACAUUAACACGCAUCACAUGUGGUACAGUUUUGGAAGCAUAAGGACAUUAUCUUUAACAGCUAGAAAUCAAAAAGUUGAAUUGAUACAAAUGUAUGGGGUUAGUGUCCCCCCACGGGCAUAUCGCCAUGUUACAGCACUUUAACGGAGAACGGUGCUAAUUAGCUGUCUAGCCUACUCUGGAAGUGCAGUUUCGUUGGAUGGAGGCACCCAUAGCUGUAUGGAUCUAUUCAAAUCUGCUACAGCUACAGAGAUGGGUUCCUGGAUCACCUCAAGGUCACCCUUGAUCGAGCACCGCAUAUGUGGAAGCUGUGCAUCCCAGGACCCCUGUCAGCCCAGUGUGAGAGGCCUGACCUAUGCAUCCCAUGACCCCUGUCAGCCCAGUGUGAGAGGCCUGACCUAUGCAUCCCAGGACCCCUGUCAGCCCAGUGUGAGAGGCCUGACUAUGCAUCCCAGGACCCCUGUCAGCCCAGUGUGAGAGGCCUGACCUAUGCAUCCCAGGACCCCUGUUGGCCCAGUGUGAGAGGCCUGACCUAUGCAUCCCAGGACCCCUGUUGGCCCAGUGUGAGAGGCCUGACCUAUGCAUCCCAGGACCCCUGUCGGCCCAGUGUGAGAGGCCUGACAAGGAGGCGGGCAUAGCUAUUUGUCUCCCACGUCAAUCUUGAGGGUGACUGAAGCCUGCUUGAAUGAAGUGGGGUGUGCGGGUCCCCAUCAAUCUCUGUAGGUGGUUGAGUUUUCUAAAGUCAAAGUAAAUCACGCUUACGUGAUGACAUCACACUUUGUUACUUUGUAUAGUUUCUUGAAGCAUUCGGACAGGAGAGCAGUGUUACAAAUUGUAUGAGUCAAAUGGUCCUGCACACUGUUGGGUGGCCGGGUGCCCAUAUAAGGCAUAUGGCUCUAAUAUAUUUCUUAAAUGUCAAAUGAUGUCUCAUCAUUAUUUCUCACCAUCAUUUAUGUUGAUCAAUAUUUUGGUUGUGCUGGCCUAAUUUGUAAAUGAUCAAAUAAAUGUCUGAUCAAUACA